CUCAAUUAUCAAGACUUUAAUAAAAUUAUGUUUGUCCGAUAUCAAUUAUAUGAGUAGUUUAUAAUAGAAAAAUUAUUUGCAGCAAAAAAUCAGUAGUUCUAAAGUCAAUUAGUUUAUAAUUUUGAGACAUAAUAACUCAUCUAAGAUCCUAAAGUGAAGAACUUUCUCAGGAAUCAAAAAUAAAUCUCGUAACUUAAUACUAGUCUUACCUUUUCCUUCCAAAGUUAACGCAUUACUUUUUUUCAUAGCCCAAGAGCACAUAUCACAAGUAGUCACCCCAUCAGGACUAAUAUCUUCAAGAAACAUUGGUCUAGGAGGCGGAGGAACGAAACUAAGGAAACCGGUUUCGGAAAAAUCGAAAGACUCUUCAUGGUCGUAUGGCCAGUACUCUAGGUCUUCGCUGUAGGUUGAGCUUGAAGGAUUAUGCCCAAUAAAUAUAUCCGAAAACGAAACGCACCUAAAAGAGGUUCUUGGACGGCUAGAGCAUUAGGUGAUGCAGUUGAUGCUGUGAAGAAUGGCGGUAUGGGCUUUAACAUAGCCGCGAAAGCAUUUGGGAUCCCAAAAACAACUUUUAAGCGCAGAUUAAAAGCAAAUAACAUCGAUAGCUGUAAUCCUCUGGGGCCAGAUUGUUCUUUGGGCUCGAACGUCGAAACAAAAAUAGUCAGUCACAUAAAAAAACUGAAAAAGGCUGGCUUUGCACCCACCAGAACAGAAGUAAGAAUCAUGGCGUUUAAUUUAGCUGAACGACUGGGAAUUCCAAAUAAAUUUAAUAAAAAAGAAGGUAAAGCUGGCCAAAAAUGGUUAGAACUGUUUUUAAAGCGAAGACCUGAAAUUUCAUUCAGAAAAUCCGAGAACACCUCAAUUGCGCGAGCUUUGGGAAUGUCAAGAGAAACCGUUAAUAAUUACUUUUCGGAUCUACAGAGAAUUAUGACUGAACACAAUUUUUAUGAUAAACCCGGGCAUAUAUUCAAUACAGACGCAACAGGAUUACAGCUAAACACUACGGCUGGUCAGGUACUAGCCGAAAAAGGAUCAAAAUGUGUUCCAAGCGUACGCCCUGGGGAAAAGAGUGAGACAAUUAGUGUCAUAGUAUGUUGUAGCGCAGAAGGCGCUUUUAUGCCCCCAUAUUGUAUUUUCAAAGGAAAAAAUUAAAAAGAAGACUGGCAUGAAGGUAUGCCACCGGGUUCUAAAAUUAGAAUAUUGGAAAAAUCUGCUUAGGUUAAUAGCGAGAUUUUUUUAGAAUGAUUACGAACACAUUUUCUACCAAGAAAGCCCUCGGGUAAAACUUUACUAAUAGUAGAUGGCUACAUGUCCCAUACGACCAACCUGGACCUACUAGAAUUUGCAAAAUGAUAUAAUUUUGUUUUGUUUACCAUCGCAUACCACUCACUACCUGCAGCCUUUUGAUCGCGCCUUCUUUAAAUCUCUUAAAAGCAACUUCUACGCUGAAUGCCGUUUUAUGGUUCAAAAUAACCCAAACAGGGUCCUUAAUCGUCUUCAAUUUGGUAAACUGUUAGGUCGAGCAUAGGGAAACUCAGCAACUGUUCAAAAAGCGACCUCUACAUUUAAAUCUACUGGGAUUUAUCCAUUUAAUUUGUUAAUUAUCCCGGAAUAUGCUUUUUUAAUACAGACACCCCUUGAAAAUCCUGAAACAGAAACAUUACAGACGGUCCAGACGGAUAACUUAUCAGUUAGAGCUGAGUCUCCUCAACCAGGCCCCUCCGGAAUUCAAAAUCUCAGUCAACAAGUCAUCAGUAUCUGAUGAAGAUAUAACUCCCGGAAAGGCCCUUAUUGAAGUAACGCCUGUACCUGUUUUAUCUGCAGCAGUGAAAAGAGUUCGUAAAAAAAUAUCCGGAGAGAUAACUGCUAAGGAAUUUAUAAAAAUAAGAAAGAUGCACAACUCAAAAAGAACGUAAAACCUGUAAGAAAAUUAAAAAGUAAGAGAAAGGUGAGUGAAUCUUUAGUGUCUGAAGAUGACGUUACCCUUGAUGACAGUUCCAGUGGUGAAGAAAACUUUAGUGAUUUAGAAAAUGAAUGUGUCGGUU